rnacentral:lncRNA from 1 species
ACGGGACCGACCUUCUCUUUUGUUUGUAAUUGGACUUGCCCGAAACAAAGGAACCUUGGCGUGAGAACCCUCUAGAUUAGGGAGAUCCAAAUAAGAGCUUGUUGCAUAUGCGUAGGAAACCACCCCAUGCGGUGUGAGAAAAGCCCACUUGACUUCGGAAUGCCAACCUCCCUUAGCUUAGCCCUUUACGACCUUUUCCGCCUUCUCACUGCCAUUCAUCGGAUAAGACUACGUCACCUAAAUCAACAAAAAAGAGGAAGGCAUUUCUCAUUGUUGGCUAGCCUGGGCUCCACACCAGAUUUU